AGCGAACGCUGGCGGCAGGCCUAACACAUGCAAGUCGAACGAACUCUUCGGAGUUAGUGGCGGACGGGUGAGUAACACGUGGGAACGUGCCUUUUGGUUCGGAAUAACUCAGGGAAACUUGUGCUAAUACCGAAUGUGCCCUUCGGGGGAAAGAUUUAUCGCCAUUAGAGCGGCCCGCGUCUGAUUAGCUAGUUGGUGAGGUAACGGCUCACCAAGGCGACGAUCAGUAGCUGGUCUGAGAGGAUGACCAGCCGCACUGGGACUGAGACACGGCCCAGACUCCUACGGGAGGCAGCAGUGGGGAAUCUUGCGCAAUGGGCGAAAGCCUGACGCAGCCAUGCCGCGUGAAUGAUGAAGGUCUUAGGAUUGUAAAAUUCUUUCACCGGGGACGAUAAUGACGGUACCCGGAGAAGAAGCCCCGGCUAACUUCGCG
rnacentral:rRNA from 1 species